UUGAUUUGCACGGUGUCCUACCCAGGUGAGGUGCUCUUUGCAGAAACCUGGUGCUGGAGAGCUUAUAACAGACAACGUUCUGACAAGGACCAGACAAAGGGUGGGGGAGGAUGCCUCAAGAGACAUCAUCCCUUUUUGUUCACUGUAUUGCCCGAAUCUUAAUUGAUUAUUGCUGCAGGAUAUAUGAGUUGCUAUGUUUCAACAUAAGCAUGUACAGUCAAUGCCAGCCAGGUCAUCUGUGGUGGUGUGAUGGAGUCUCCUAGCCAACCAGAGAUGGUAGAAAGAGUUAAUUGUGGAUGUUGCUAGAUGAGAGGUUAGUAUCAGAGAGUACUCCUAAAAAAUCAGGUUGAAAUGACUAAUGGUCAACGUGUACCCAAAGGAGACUGUAAAGGUGGCUGCGAACUGUUCAAAGUGCUUUCUUCUGCACACCAACAUCACCGCUGUGUUUCUCAAGUUCAUCUUCAGCCAGCUGCUCUUCAUCUGUGAACUGAUUUUGCCCAAGCACUGGGCCAUCUUGGUGGUAGUAGUAUGGUCAUAUGUGAUUGAAAGAUAAAUAAAGCUGUAGCUGUGUGUGUCAUCUGCA